CUACGGGGGGCUCCAGUAGGGAAUAUUGGACAAUGGGCGAAAGCCUGAUCCAGCAGCACCGCGUGCACGAUGACGGCCUUCGGGUUGUAAAGUGCUUUUAGAGGAGAUGAGAAAGGACAGUAUCCUCUGAAUAAGCCUCGGCGAACUACGUGCCAGCAGCCGCGGUAAAACGUAGGAGGCAAGCGUUAUCCGGAUUUAUUGGGCGUAAAGCGCGUGCAGGCGGUCUAGCAAGUUGGAUGUGAAAGCUCCCGGCUCAACUGGGAGAGGUCGUUCAAUACUGUUAGACUAGAGAAUAGGAGAGGGAGGUGGAAUUCCGGGUGUAGUGGUGAAAUGCGUAGAUAUACGGAGGAACACCAGUGGCGAAAGCGGCCUCCUGGACUAUUUCUGACGCUAAGACGCGAAAGCUAGGGUAGCAAACGGGAUUAGAUACCCGCGUAGUC
rnacentral:rRNA from 1 species